rnacentral:rRNA from 1 species
UAACACAUGCAAGUCGAGGGGCAGCAUUUUAGUUCGCUUGCAAAUUAAAGAUGGCGACCGGCGCACGGGUGAGUAACACGUAUCCAACCUGCCGAUAACUCGGGGAUAGCCUUUCGAAAGAAAGAUUAAUAUCCGAUAGUAUAUUAAAACCGCAUGGUUUUACUAUUAAAGAAUUUCGGUUAUCGAUGGGGAUGCGUUCCAUUAGUUUGUUGGCGGGGUAACGGCCCACCAAGACUACGAUGGAUAGGGGUUCUGAGAGGAAGGUCCCCCACAUUGGAACUGAGACACGGUCCAAACUCCUACGGGAGGCAGCAGUGAGGAAUAUUGGUCAAUGGACGAGAGUCUGAACCAGCCAAGUAGCGUGAAGGAUGACUGCCCUAUGGGUUGUAAACUUCUUUUAAUAUGGGAAUAAAGUAUUCCACGUGUGGAAUUUUGUAUGUACCAUAUGAAUAAGGAUCGGCUAACUCCGUGCCAGCAGCCGCGGUAAUACGGAGGAUCCGAGCGUUAUCCGGAUUUAUUGGGUUUAAAGGGAGCGUAGGUGGAUUGUUAAGUCAGUUGUGAAAGUUUGCGGCUCAACCGUAAAAUUGCAGUUGAAACUGGCAGUCUUGAGUACAGUAGAGGUGGGCGGAAUUCGUGGUGUAGCGGUGAAAUGCUUAGAUAUCACGAAGAACUCCGAUUGCGAAGGCAGCUCACUAGACUGCAACUGA